AUGGCAUCCUUCUCGAGCCACGGGCCGAACUUCCGCGCGCCGGAGAUCCUCAAGCCGGACGUGACCGCGCCUAGCGUGGACAUCCUCGCCGCUUGGACGGGCGCCAACUUGCCCUCGGAGCUUGAUUUUGACACGAGGCGAGUGAAGUACAACGUCAUAUCGGGCACGUACAUGUCAUGCCCGCAUGUGAGCGGCAUCGUGGCGCUGCUCCGGCAGGCGAGGCCGGAGUGGAGCCCCGUCGCGAUCAAGUCCAUCCUGAUGACCACCGCAAGCAACACGGACAGCGCCGGCGGCGUGAUCGGUGAUAUGUCCAUCGGCGAGGCGUCCACGCCGUUCGUGCGCGGGGCUGGACACAUCGACCCCAACAGUGCCGUCGACCCGGGCCUUGUGUACGACGCCGGCACGGAGGACUACAUCACCUUCCUGUGCGCGCUCGGCUACACCGCCAAGCAGGUCGCCAUCUUCGGCUCGUCCACCAGCUGCUCGACACGCACGGGCUCCUCCGUGGGCGACCAGAACUACCCGGCCUUCUCGGUGGUGUUCACCUCGAGCAAAAAACGGACGGCCGUCAUGCAGCGCCGCGUCGUGCGCAACGUCGGCAGCGACGCGACGACGUACCGGGCCAAGAUCACCGCCCCGGAGGGCGUGCUUGUGACGGUGAGCCCCGAGGCGUUGCGGUUCAGUGCGACGCAGAAGACGUAG
rnacentral:rRNA from 1 species